UGGGGUAUCGCCAAGCGGUAAGGCACCGGUUUUUGACACCGGCAUUCCCUGGUUCGAAUCCAGGUACCCCAGCCA
rnacentral:tRNA from 2 species